CUUCACAAACUGCAAUCAGGUUUUCUCCCGAUAUUUCCCUUCACCGUGAAAGCAAGUGAUACUUAUUUAAUUACUUAAAA